CUUCAAUUUUAAUACGUCAGAGACAUACUAUGCAUCAAAAUGUAGGUCUGGGUCUUGUGAUUCUCACAAUAUAAAGCUCUUCACUGUAGGAGUUAUAGUUUUAAGAUACGACCGCUAGAAGAUGGCAACCGCCAAAAUAUUCUGACCUGUGUCAAGCUGCAGCAGCAAGUGAUGUCAUAGACAGGGCCUUUUGAACACCUGCUAAUGUUUUUAUAAAUGUAUGGUUUAAUGUAACUGUGCAACAACGUUGCAAUUAAAUGUGCUAUGUAAAUGAUAACAGUUACUCCGCCCACUCCAGUUGUAGACUACAGGUGGAGGCAAGAACACUUCACACAAUUUCCCCUGAAAUUGUAACUUUUCUAGUUAUUAUUAUUAUUAUUAUAGCAAAAUUUGCCACCCUAACUCCUCCCACAGUUUUUACACUACAUAGACAAAAAUUUACCAAAACGUGCAGAUUGUUCCCGAUCGGAUUGCUAUUACUUUGUGGAACGUUUCGCCGAAUGGUUCACGGAAUAUCGUCGUUCUUGUGGCAAAAUUUGUCCCAUAGGAAUGAAUGGCAAAGCUAGAGUGGGAGCUGGCAAAAGCUGAAAAAUCAGGACAUGAUUUCUAAACUGCCACCACUCCCUCAUUUUCAGGCCCACCUACACAUAUCUUAUAUCAAAACGUUCAGCUAUCCCUGCUGCCACUAAACAUGUCAACGGCUAAGCCAUAGUCCUGAUAGUUUUCACAAUAUAAUCAUUUGUUUGCAACUAACGCCGUCCAUUGACUUUCAUUGAAACUUGCUUGGUUGUAUAGGGAGAGGUAUUAGCAGUAGAAAGAGGGAAGUGCUCAUGCCAUUUUACAGAACACUGGUGAGACCUCACUUGGAGUAUUGUACACAGUACUGGAGACCGUAUCUUCAGAAGGAUAUUGAUACCUUAGAGAGGGUUCAGAGAAGGGCUACUAAACUGGUUAAUGGAUUGCGGGAUAAAACUUACCAGGAAAGGUUAAAGGAUCUUAACAUGUAUAGCUUGGAGGAAAGACGAGACAGGGGGGAUAUGAUAGAAACAUUUAAAUAUAUAAAGGAAUCAACACAGUAAAGGAGGAGACUAUAUUUAAAAGAAGAAAAACUACCACAACAAGAGGACAUAGUCUUAAAUUAGAGGGACAAAGGUUUAAAAAUAAUAUCAGGAAGUAUUACUUUACUGAGAGGGUAGUGGAUGCAUGGAAUAGCCUCCAGCUGAAGUGGUAGAGGUUAACACAGUAAAGGAGUUUAAGCAUGCGUGGGAUAGGCAUAAGGCUAUCCUAACUAUAAGAUAAGGCUAGGGACUAAUGAAAGUAUUUAGAAAAUUGGGCAGACUAGAUGGGCCGAAUGGUUCUUAUCUGCCGUCACAUUCUAUGUUUCUAUGUUUCUAUGUUUCUAUGUUUCUAUGAAACUUCACUCUGCAAAGCUCAAAUUUGAAGUGCAAUUUCUAAACUGCGACUGUGCCUUCAAUUUUAAUACUUCAGAGACAUGCAUCAAAAUGUAGGUCUGGGUCUUGUGAUUCUCACAAUAUAAAGCUCUUCGCUGUAGGAUUUAUAGUUUUUAAAAUAUAACCGUUUGAAGAUGGCAACCACCAAAAUACUCUGACCUGUCAAGGCUGCAGCAGCAAGUGAUGUCAUAGACAGGGCCUUUUGAACACCUGCUAAUGUUUU
rnacentral:lncRNA from 1 species